GUAUGCCUACGGGGGGCAGCAGUAAGGGAUAUUGGUCAAUGGGGGAAACCCUGAACCAGCAACGCCGCGUGAGGGAAGACGGUUUUCGGAUUGUAAACCUCUGUCCUCUGUGAAGAUGAUGACGGUAGCAGAGGAGGAAGCUCCGGCUAACUACGUGCCAGCAGCCGCGGUAAUACGUAGGGAGCGAGCGUUGUCCGGAUUUACUGGGUGUAAAGGGAGCGUAGGCGGGAGGGUAAGUUGAAUGUGAAAUCUAUGGGCUCAACCCAUAGCUGAGUUCAAAA
rnacentral:rRNA from 1 species